AAGGAAUAUUUGCUGAACCAGGCAGCAGAGUGGAAACUUCAGGCGAAAGUGCUGAAGGAGCAAGAGACAGUCCUGCAGGCUCAGGGGAAAUGCUGUGCAUGACCUCUGGAUGUCCUUCCCUGGCUCUGUGAAAUACCAAAGUGAGACUGGGAAUAUGACACAUGAAACCAAACAUGUAUCCUGUCAGCACGAUAGUGAGAGGGAAGACGCUACCAAACAAAUAUCCAUUUAGUAAACAAGAAGCACAAACAUUUACUCACUCUCUACUCAGGAAGGUUUGAAGAAUUCCAGAGCACACUAACUAAAAGCAACGAGGUGUUUGCCACGUUCAAACAGGAAAUGGACAAAACAACUAAGAAAAUGAAGAAGCUGGAAAAGGACACAGCCACAUGGAAAGCCCGAUUUGAGAACUGUAACAAAGCUCUGUUGGACAUGAUUGAAGAGCCCUCCUGACUGCUCCAAGAAUUUCAUCGAACAAGACUCAAAGAGGCCCAGCUGCUCUGCGUUUUGAUUCUUCUCCCUCUCUCAGUCCACACUGACCUGGGAGGGGCUUCUCAAACACCACAUUUCCUAGCGUGCUGUGAGAAGAGGACUGUGAGCUAA
ensembl:lncRNA novel transcript